GACGGAGGGUGCAAGCGUUGUUCGGAUUGACUGGGCGUAAAGGGCGUGUAGGCGGUCGGUCAAGUCUGGUGUGAAAGCCCGGGGCUCAGCUCCGGAAGUGCAUCGGAAACUAGCUGGCUGGAGCGCGAUAGAGGAGGGCGGAAUUCCGUGGUGUAGCGGUGAAAUGCGUAGAUAUCAGGAGGAACACCGGUGGCGAAGGCGGGGUCUCCUGGGCCGAUACUGACGCUGAGGAGCGAAAGCGUGGGGAGCGAACAGG
rnacentral:rRNA from 1 species